rnacentral:rRNA from 1 species
AUACGGAGGAUCCGAGCGUUAUCCGGAUUUAUUGGGUUUAAAGGGUGCGUAGGUGGUUUGAUAAGUCAGCGGUGAAAGUUUGCAGCUUAACUGUAAAAAUGCCGUUGAAACUGUCGGACUUGAGUGUAAAUGAGGUAGGCGGAAUGCGUGGUGUAGCGGUGAAAUGCAUAGAUAUCACGCAGAACCCCGAUUGCGAAGGCAGCUUACUAAGCUACAACUGACACUGAAGCACGAAAGCGUGGGGAUCAAACAGGAUUAGAUACCCUGGUAGUCCACGCAGUAAACGAUGAUUACUAGCUGUUUGCGAUACACAGUAAGCGGCACAGCGAAAGCGUUAAGUAAUCCACCUGGGGAGUACGCCGGCAACGGUGAAACUCAAAUGAAUUGACGGGG